rnacentral:rRNA from 1 species
AUGAAGCCCUCGCCGCACUUCCCGGAGAUCGGGAAGAAGUCCAAAGAUUUGAUCCCCAAGGACCACAGUUUCAACAUUGCGGCCUACAUCUCAUCUGGAGCGGAUGUUAUUGCUGCUGCCCUGCGAAAGCAUGUCGAGGAGGAAGCUCGAGAUCUCAGCGGUGAAGCUUUUCUUAGGUUUAUGGAUCAGCUCUAUGAGCAGAUAUCUAGUUUAUUGCAAAGUAACGAUGUUUCUGAAAAUUUGCUGGCUCUCCGUGCUAUCGAUGCAUUGAUUGAUAUGCCCUUCGGAGAAGGUGCUUCAAAGGUCUCCAAGUUCGCCAGUUUCUUGAGAAAUGUGUUUGAAGUAAAGCGUGACCCUGAAAUCCUAGUUCCAGCGAGUACUGUGCUUGGUCAUUUAGCAAAAGCUGGGGGAGCAAUGACUGCAGAUGAAGUUGAGCGACAGAUUAAAACUGCUUUAGGGUGGCUUGAGGGGGACCGAGUAGAGUAUCGUCGGUUUGCAGCUGUUCUUAUUCUCAAAGAGAUGGCUGAGAAUGCUUCCACAACUUUCAAUGUUCAUGUUCCUGAAUUUGUUGAUGCUAUAUGGGUAGCACUGAGAGACCCCAAACAGGCUGUGCGUGAACGAGCAGUGGAAGCCUUGCGUGCUUGUCUUCAUGUUAUAGAAAAGCGGGAGACACGGUGGCGUGUACAGUGGUAUUACCGCAUGUGUGAAGCAGCGCAAGUGGGACUUGGCAAAAAUGCUUCUGUUCAUAGCAUCCAUGGGUCAUUAUUGGCUGUUGGAGAAUUGUUGAGGAAUACCGGGGAAUUUAUGAUGUCUAGGUACAGAGAAGUGGCUGAUAUAGUCCUCACGUACUUGAAACACCGGGAUCAGCUUGUUCGUCGUAGUAUAACAUCUCUUCUUCCUCGAAUUGCUCACUUCCUGCGAGACAGAUUUGUGACCAACUACCUUAAGAUAUGCAUGGAACAUAUCUUGUUUGUUCUACGUACCCCGGAUGAGCGUGCUAGUGGGUUUGUUGCUCUGGGAGAGAUGGCUGGUGCUUUGGGUGCAGAACUUGUGCCCAGUUUGCCCUCAAUUACCCCACUUCUGCAUGAAGCAAUUGCUCCUCGCAGAGGACGCCCAUCUCUUGAGGCUAUUACUUGUGUUGGAAGCUUUGCAAAAGCCAUGGGUCUUGCAAUGGAACGCCAUAUUCGUGGUGGGCUGCUAGAUGCCAUGUUUUCUGCCGGUCUUUCUGAUAAACUUGUAGAUGCACUUGAGUCUAUAAGUACCAGCAUCCCGUCUCUACUGCCAACUAUACAAGAGCGUUUAUUGGAUUGUAUAGCUCAAGCACUUCCAAAGUCAUCUACGAGGUCUGGUUCUACUGUUAAUCGAGCAACCAGAUCCAACAGUUUCCAGCACUUUGUGGAUUCUAGUGGUCCAGUGCUUGUCCAACUUGCUCUGCGUACCCUGGCAAACUUUAACUUUAAGGGUCAUGAGCUCCUGGAAUUGGCAAGAGAGAGUGUCAUCCUUUAUCUGGAAGAUGAGGAUAGCAGUACCCGAAAAGCUGCUGCGAUAUGCUGUUGCAGAUUAGUUGCACACUCUCUUUCUGCUUCGUCUACUUCACAGUUCAGUUCAAAUAGGUCAAAUCGUAUGGGAGGAGCUAAGCGCCGUCGUCUUGUAGAAGAGAUAGUGGAAAAACUUCUUAUUGCUGCAGUUGCUGAUGCUGAUGUUGGUGUUAGGAGUUCAGUCUUCAGGGCUCUGUACCGCAAUCCGACUUUUGAUGAUUUCUUGGCCCAAGCUGACAUCCUGACUUCAAUUUUUGUUGCCUUAAAUGACGAGGAGUACGGUGUAAGAGAAUUGGCAAUUUUAGUUGCAGGCAGAUUGUCUGAAAAAAACCCUGCAUAUGUACUGCCUGCCCUUCGUCGCUAUCUUAUACAGUUGCUCACUUAUCUUGAUCAAAGUAUGGAUAGCAAGUGUAGAGAGGAAAGUGCUAGAUUGUUGGGCUGCUUAAUUAGGAGCUGUCCAUGGCUAAUACUUCCUUAUAUUGCUCCAAUUCACAAGGCACUGGUGGCUAGACUUUGUGAAGGAACAGGACCAAUGGCCAAUAUUGUGCUUGCUGCGGGAGUGCUUGCCACUGUCGGGGAACUGGCCAAAGUGGGUGGUUUUGCAAUGAGGCAAUAUCUUCCUGAGCUAAUGCCUCUGGUUGUGGAUGCUCUUUUGGAUGGAGGUUCUGUGAGCAAAAGGGAAGUUGCAGUAGCAACCCUUGGACAAGUUAUUCAAAGCACAGGCUAUGUUAUUGCUCCCUAUAAUGAAUAUCCUCCGUUGCUUGGCUUACUCUUGAAGUUGCUGAAUGGUGAAUUGGAAUGGUCGACUAGAUUGGAAGUUCUGAAGGUUUUAGGGAUUAUGGGUGCGUUGGACCCUCAUGCACAUAAGCGUAAUCAACAUAAUUUAACUGGUCAACAUAAUUUACCUGGUCAACAUAGAGAGGUUCUACGUCCAACAGUUGAGACUGCACAACAUAUCGUUUCCAUGGAAGAGGCACCAACUGAUUUCUGGCCAUCUUUUUCGGCGUCUGAGGACUACUAUUCAACGGUUGCAAUUAGUUCUCUCAUGCGAAUUCUCCGAGAUCCUUCCCUUGCAAGUUAUCAUCAAAUGGUUGUUGGCUCUCUUAUCUUCGUUUUUAAGUCAAUGGGCCUUGGCUGUGUUCCCUAUCUACCAAAGGUUCUCCCUGAGCUAUUCCGCGCCGUUCGUAUGUGCGAGGAUGGUGGUUUGAAAGAGUUCAUAACCUGGAAACUCGGGACAUUAAUAUCUAUUGUUCGACAGCACAUUCGGAAGUAUUUACAAGACAUACUCUCUCUUGUCUCCGAAUUAUGGACUUCCUCGUUCAGCCUUCCUGCACCAAAGCGGACUAUACAGGGCCCACAGGGUUCUCCAGUUCUUCAUCUUGUUGAGCAACUAUGCUUAGCAUUGAAUGAUGAGUUCAGAGUGUAUUUACUCCAUAUUUUGCCAAGUUGUAUUCAAGUCUUGGGUGAUGCUGAACGCUGCAAUGAUUAUUGCUAUGUGCCUGACAUAUUACACACACUCGAAGUGUUUGGCGGAAAUUUGGAUGAGCACAUGCACUUGGUUGCUCCAGUGCUUGUUCGUUUAUUUAAAGUGGAGCUAGUUGACAUCCGACGGCGUGCUAUCAUUACUUUAACUAAGCUUAUACCUAAGGUGCAGGUUGGUACUCAUGUAUCGGCGUUAGUGCAUCAUCUGAAGCUCGUCUUGGAUGGAAACAAUGAUGAUUUACGGAAAGAAGCUGCAGAGGCGCUCUGCUCGCUCGCACAUGCUCUCGGAGAGGAAUUUACAAUUUUCAUACCAUCAAUACGCAAACUUCUUGUGAAGCACCAUUUGCGGUACAAAAAAUGGGAUGAGACUGAAAAUCGAUUACUAAGGCGAGAACUGUUCAUCUCCGAUAACUUGUCAGUACAGAAGUACACACAGUGUCCACCUGAUGUCAUUAGUGACCCCCUUGAUGAUUUUGAGGGUGUUCCUUCUGAGGAAGCUGAUGAAACACAGCGGCAACCAAGAAGUCAUCAAGUCAACGAUGUUCGGUUGAGAAGUGCUGGCGAGGCUUCUCAGAGAAGUACUAGAGAAGAUUGGGCUGAAUGGAUGAGGCACUUUAGUAUUGCACUUCUCAAAGAGUCACCAUCUCCAGCUCUACGCACUUGUGCAAGGCUAGCACAGCUUCAGCCCUCUGUUGGACGCGAGUUGUUUGCUGCGGGUUUUGCAAGUUGCUGGGCCCAAAUGACCGAAUCAUCCCAAGAGCAACUAGUGAGAAGUCUCAAGACAGCAUUCUCAUCUCAAAACAUACCACCAGAAAUUCUUGCAACGCUGUUGAACUUGGCAGAGUUUAUGGAACAUGAUGAGAAGCCUCUUCCAAUUGAUACUAGGCUGCUUGGCGCACUUGCUGAGAAGUGUCGAGCAUAUGCAAAAGCCCUCCAUUAUAAAGAAAUGGAGUUUGAAGCUGUAUGUUCAAAGAAGAUGGGUGCAAAUCCUGUUACAGUGGUUGAAUCCCUUAUUCAUAUUAACAAUCAACUGCACCAGCAUGAGGCAGCUAUUGGAAUACUGACUUACUCACAACAGCAUCUAGAAGUUCAGUUGAAGGAAUCCUGGUAUGAGAAAUUGCACCGUUGGGAUGAGGCCCUAAGGGCAUAUACCAUGAAGUCAUCUCAAGCAUCUGGCCCUUUACAACACAGCCAAAAUUUGGAUGCUACAUUGGGGAGGAUGAGGUGCCUAGCAUCCUUGGCUCGGUGGGAAGAUUUAAGCACAUUAUGCAGGGAGCAAUGGACUGGUGCAGAACCGCCUGCUCGACUGGAAAUGGCUCCAAUGGCUGCAAAUGCUGCUUGGCAUAUGGGUGAGUGGGACCAGAUGUCUGAAUAUGUUUCUCGUCUGGAUGAUGGGGACGAAAACAAGCUCCGCUCGUUGGGUAACACAACUGCUAGUGGUGAUGGAAGCAGUAAUGGUGCUUUCUUUAGGGCUGUUCUUUCAGUUCGUUGCAAAAAGUAUGAAGAAGCUCGUGUAUAUGUUGAGAGAGCUCGGCGGUGUUUGGCAACUGAACUUGCACCAUUGGUACUUGAGAGUUAUGAGCGUGCUUAUAAUAACAUGGUGCGGGUUCAGCAGCUUUCAGAACUCGAAGAGGUGAUUGAUUACUGCACUCUUCCGAUGGAAAGUCCAAUUGCUGAUGGGCGAAGGGAACUUAUCCGUAAUAUGUGGAAUGAGCGCAUUAAAGGAACAAAACGGAACGUUGAGGUGUGGCAAGCCCUACUUGCUGUUAGAGAGUUGGUUCUUCCUCCUAAUGAAGACAGAGAUACCUGGAUAAGAUUUGCUAAACUUUGCUGGAAGAGUGGACGUAUUAGUCAGGCUAAAUCUACUUUAGUCAAACUUUUACAGUUUGAUCCUGAAUCUUCUCCUGAGUUGACACUGUAUCAUGCACAUCCUCAAGUAGUCCUGGCUUACCUGAAGUACCAGUAUGCUGUUGGAGAUGAGCUUAAACGAAAGGACGCAUUUUCUAGGCUACAGGAUCUGUCAGUGCAGAUUGCAACAGCCACAAAUAGUUACUCUGGAAUGCUAGUAAGCCAUGGUGCUAUAUCAAGUGCUGGAGUACCACUUACUGCCCGUGUCUAUUUGACACUUGCUAGCUGGAAGAGAGCACUGUCACCUGGAUUGGAUGAUGAUGCCAUUCAAGAAAUAUUGGUUUCCUACAAAAAUGCCACAUUAAGUGCCAAGGACUGGGGCAAGGCAUGGCAUUCGUGGGCUUUGUUCAACACUGAAGUCAUGUCCCGAUAUACUUUGCGAGGCCGUCCAGAUAUAGCAGGAAAAUAUGUUGUUGCAGCAGUAACAGGAUAUUUCUACUCUAUUGCGUGUGCAUCUACAACUAAAGGUGUCGAUGAUAGCUUGCAGGAUAUUCUCCGUCUCUUGACUCUUUGGUUCAACCAUGGGGCAACCUCAGAGGUUCAAAUGGCAUUGGAGAAAGGCUUUACACUUGUCAAGAUCGAAAUGUGGUUGGUUGUGCUACCCCAGAUAAUUGCCAGGAUUCAUUCAAACAAUAGAAUAGUUAGAGAACUGAUACAAGAAUUGCUAGUUCGAAUUGGAAAGGGGCAUCCGCAGGCAUUGAUGUAUCCUCUUUUGGUUGCUUGCAAAUCAAUAAGUAUAUUAAGGCAACGUGCAGCACAGGAGGUCGUUGAUAAGAUCCGCAAGCAUAGUGGAGGCCUUGUUGAUCAGGCGCAGCUUGUUUCAAAGGAACUGAUACGAGUUGCCAUUUUGUGGCAUGAGAUGUGGCAUGAAGCUCUUGAGGAAGCUAGCAGGAUGUAUUUUGGUGAGCACAAUAUCGAUGGAAUGCUUGCGGUACUUGAGCCAUUGCAUGCAAUGCUUGAGAGAGGGGCUGAGACAAUAAAAGAGAACACUUUCAUUCAGGCCUAUGGACAUGAAUUACUUGAAGCCCACGAAUGCUGCUUAAAAUAUCGCGCUACUGGAGAGGAUGCUGAGCUAACUAAGGCAUGGGAUUUGUAUUACCAUGUUUUCAGAAGAAUCGACAAACAGCUUCCAAGUCUUACAACUCUUGAUUUGCAUUCUGUUUCACCUGAGCUGCUCAAAUGUCGAAAGUUGGAGCUUGCUGUACCAGGAACUUAUUCUGCAGAUUCACCACUAGUGACUAUCGAGUAUUUUGUUCCGCAAUUGAUUGUUAUUACAUCCAAACAAAGACCAAGGAAACUGACAAUUCAUGGAAGUGAUGGCGAGGAUUAUGCAUUCUUGCUUAAAGGUCAUGAAGAUUUAAGACAAGAUGAACGCGUUAUGCAGCUUUUUGGUCUGGUGAAUACUCUCCUGGAGAACUCAAGGAAAACAUCAGAGAAAGAUUUGUCGAUCCAAAGAUAUGCUGUUAUUCCCUUGUCUCCUAACAGUGGAUUAAUUGGAUGGGUACCUAAUUGUGACACGCUUCAUGCUCUGAUCCGUGAAUACAGAGAUGCAAGGAAGAUUUUCUUAAAUCAAGAGCACAGACUUAUGUUGGCGUUUGCACCCGAUUAUGACCACUUACCCCUCAUCGCGAAGGUGGAAGUAUUUCAGCAUGCUCUGCAGAAUACCGAAGGAAAUGACCUUGCAAAGGUUCUCUGGCUGAAAAGUCGAACAUCCGAAGUAUGGCUUGAGCGGCGUACAAAUUAUACAAGAAGCCUGGCUGUUAUGAGCAUGGCUGGCUAUUUGCUUGGGUUAGGAGAUCGGCAUCCAAGCAAUCUUAUGUUAGAUCGUUUUAGUGGGAAAAUUUUACACAUUGACUUUGGAGACUGUUUCGAGGCAUCAAUGAAUCGAGAAAAGUUCCCUGAAAAAGUACCAUUCCGUUUGACUAGAAUGCUCGUGAAAGCUAUGGAAGUUAGUGGUAUUGAGGGUACUUUCAGAACAACUUGUGAAAAUGUGAUGCAAGUCCUCCGAACAAACAAGGACAGCGUCAUGGCUAUGAUGGAGGCAUUUGUACAUGACCCGCUGAUCAAUUGGCGUUUGUUCAAUUUCAAUGAAGUUCCUCAAGUUUCAAACUAUGGAAAUGCUCAUACUCAUACAGUGGUCAGUAGUGAAGAAGCUGCUCCUAGUGAAGAGCUCAUGCAGCCUCCUCGAGGAGCCCGCGAGAAGGAACUGCUACAGGCGGUCAAUCAACUCGGUGACGCUAAUGAGGUUUUAAACGAGCGUGCUGUAGCUGUCAUGGCACGGAUGAGUCACAAGCUAACAGGGCGUGACUUUUCUUCUGGAUCAGCCUUGUCAGGCGCCGGCGGCUCAAGUCAACAUGGCAGUGAACAUUUAGCCUCAGUAGAUGCUCGGGAGGUAGAACCUGGAUUAUCCGUGAAGGUUCAGGUUCAGAAGCUUAUACUUCAAGCGACUUCACAUGAAAAUUUGUGCCAGAACUAUGUCGGGUGGUGCCCGUUUUGGUGA